rnacentral:rRNA from 1 species
UACGAAGGGGGCGAGCGUUGUUCGGAAUUACUGGGCGUAAAGCGCACGUAGGCGGCUUUGUAAGUAAGAGGUGAAAGCCCAGAGCUCAACUCUGGAAUUGCCUUUUAGACUGCAUCGCUUGAAUCAUGGAGAGGUCAGUGGAAUUCCGAGUGUAGAGGUGAAAUUCGUAGAUAUUCGGAAGAACACCAGUGGCGAAGGCGGCUGACUGGACAUGUAUUGACGCUGAGGUGCGAAAGCGUGGGGAGCAAACAGG